rnacentral:lncRNA from 1 species
UUUUUUUUUUUUGUCUUUUUGCCAUUUCUUGGGCUGCUCCCGGCAUAUGGAGGUUCCCAGAAGAGACAAUUAAUUAAUUAAUUAAUUAAUUAAAUAAGAAAAGAUUUUUAAAGGCAUAUGAGAAAGUAUAUUUCACUUCUCAUUCAAUACAACACAGUCCAUUGAGAGGAACUGGUCACCUCAGGGAAUGAAGCUUUAUUUAGCACAAACAGGAGAGGUUUUCAAUUAGUAUGUCUAUUCUUUAAUAAUUUCAUCAUUCUUCCGAGAUUAUAAAAGCAGUACAUCCUAGGUAAAAAAAAUUGAGAAAAAAGAUCACCCACAAUAUUAUUACCUAGAGAUAAUAAGCUCUUAUUAGUAUUUGGCAUACAUACUUUCUUUUAAGAUUUCUAUAUACAGAGCUUUUGUCCAUAUUAAAGAAAAUUAGGGAGCUCCCAUUGUGGCUCAGUGGGUUAUGAACCCGACUAGCAUACAUGAGGAUGCAGGUUUGAUUCCUGGCCUUGCUCAGUGGGUUAAGGAUCUGGCAUUGCUGUGAGCUGUGCUGUAGGUCGAAUAUGAGGCUCAGAUCCUGCAUUGCUGUGGCUAGUGGCGUAGGCUGGCAGCUGCAGCUCUGAUUCAACACCCUAGCCUGGGAACUUCCAUAUGCCAAAGGUGUGUCCCUGAAAAGCAAAAAAAAAAAAAAAAAAAAAUCAUACAUUAAGCAUAUUCUCAUCCCAUUCUGUUUUUCUAAAUAUCAUUCCAUAUCAAUAAAUAUUGGCCUCUACCAUCCUGUUUAAAGAUUGCACAGUAUUUCACUAUAUGGAUAGGCCCUAAUGACUUAAUCAAUCCUUUAUUAAUAGGGGUUUAGGUUACUUUCCAUGUUUUGCUGUUGCAAAAAACAGGGCAAUGAGCAAUCUGGUACAUAUGACUGUUUCUUUAAGAUAAAUUCCUAGACGAUAGCUUGUCAUUUUAUAACUCUGGAUCCAUAUUGCCCCAAGUGUCACCCAUAAAAUACAUACCAAAUUUACCUUUUUCAAAAGAAGGAAACCCUUAAAUUUAAGAGUAAUAGCAUAUUUUACAUUUCUAAUAUUUAGAUUAAGCAACCAAAAACUUUAAAAAUUCAAUUUAUCUCUAAAAAUCUAAAAUAUCAAUUCAUGCCUCUGAUAUUGCAUUAGAAUUACAUUUGGAGGGGGGGAAUUCUAAAAUACCUAAUAAACCGGUUUUGUUUUCAGCAUUUAUUAAUUUGAAAACUUAAACUCUGAAAAGAAUAUACUUGCUAUAAAACAAGCAAAUUAGUAGGGAAAACUAAAAGGCAAGGAGAGAGGCAAAAAAUACACUAAUCAGUUAUAGCAGCCACCAGGUCACCAAAUCUGAAUCCUAUACAAGGGCUGAGAAAGAAGCAUCAAGAAAAAGAGAAAAGGUGACAACUAAAAGAAACAGCUUUCAGAGACUCAGUGAUGGCUGGAUUAAAUUACGCACAGACAUAUACAUCUACAUGCUCUGUAUAGAACCAAUCCUGAAGCUAAUCUCUAGGGGUUAGAACACAAGAGGAACCUUUGUGUGCUUUAUUUAACCAAACAUCAUGUACAAGGGGAUGGGGGAGGCCAGAUACAGGGAAGAGUGUCUAGGUAGCAGCUUGAGGGCCUAGUAUCAACUACUUCCCCUCCUGGGCACCAGGAGGGUAACAGGAACUUGAGGCAUAAAGCAGCUCCAAAGGCACUUAUUCCCUUCAAAACCAACACAAAUGACAAGGCUCAAUCAUCAAGUUCUUUGGCAAACUGGGCAAGGUGAGACUAUUUUUACCAACAAAUAAUUUACUGGAGAGCACCAUGUUUGUGCCUAGGAGGGGAAGGCCACAUAUUAUAACUAAUCUACUGGAGUUUCAUCCUAAUGGGGAAGGCAGGGACAUUAGAUAAAGCAACCAUAACAAAAGCACUGAACAUUUAAGAUGGAAAAUGGCAGUGUGUAUAGGGGUAAGAGGAGGUACUGUUGCUUGCUAACACCACACACCUAUAGGACUUGGGGUCUAACAUUCUUCUAGGCAAGGGCUCAGUAAACUAUGGCCCUUGAAUGGGUCAAAUCCAAUUCUGACUUAUGCUAUGAGCCAUUACCUAUAUAUAACACUUUUAAAUGGUUGAAAAAUUCUUAAAACUGUUUCCCAGCAUACAAAAAUUUCAUGAAAUUCAAACAUCAGUGUCCACAAAGUUUUACUGAACACAGCCAUGCCCACUCCUGGUCAAUGGCUACCUUCUCCAUGCACUGAGUUGGGAGGCUCUAAAUGCUUCAUGCUUGUUAGUUUGGCCCUGACAUACCCAGAAUUUAGACAUAGCCUGCUAGCCUAACAGAGAAUGCAGCCCCAUUUUUAAGAACAGCAGGCAGGUCUAAUUGGUUCUAUGGAUGCUGGGGUACUAGCCAAAUAGUAACCAGAAAAAUGUGAAAGGUUUUUUGAGUUGAAAGUAGAAUGGUCUCAGAAGGUGUGUGUUGGGGUGAGUAGGAUUAAAGGUUUCUCUCUGAAAGAAUACAUGAGCUAUCUCCUUGGACAAGAGAAUGAAACCGUCCUCAAAAUGACUACUACCUUUAGGAGCUUAGCACUGAGCAAAGCCUUUUGCCUUUAUUAUCUCAUUUAAUCUCAAACCCAGGUUCAAGUCUAAGCCUGUGUUCCUAACCACUCCCUGACUUAAAAGCACAAGACAACAAUGUUCACCAGGACUAAAAGAGAGGAAAAGACCACAGGAACAGUGGAAGGUUAUUUUAUGGACAUGAGCAUCAGAAGUGUUCUAUUCAUCUCUCUCCUCCCUCUCCCUCUUUCUCCUUAUAGUAACAUCAUUUCCUUUAAAGAAAGUAAAAUGCAACUUAUUUCUUCCAGGAACUUGCUUGUUGAGAAAAACUGAUGCAGGUACUCAAACAUGGAGACAUUUUAAAGAUGUCACCAUCAAAGUUAUAGAUCUAACUUCUACUAAAUGCAAUCAAUGUGUAAGGGUCUCCAAAAGAAGGGGGUGAGGAAACAUUUUUUGAGGCAAUGGUUUAGAAAGCACAUAUACAGUUUAAUUUAGAUUUUUCAUUUAAAGUACAAUGAGGAGUAACAGUUAAAUGAAUCUUACUCAAAGAAAGGGCUAUGAUGCUGGUAGGCAGCUGAAUCUUUCUUACUAGGAUCCAUGUUCUUUGCUUUGCCAACUAUACCACCAUUUUCCUUCAAGUUCUCCAAAAAGCCUACAAUUAUAAGAACCACUCAAUCCUAAUUCAUUUUGUGAAAACCAGAUUUUUAAGAAGUUUCACUUGGUUGAUAUUUUCAUCAUACUUAUUUGCAGAUAAUGUAUACCAUUAUUAUAUAACAUGUUUGUACAUAUUUACUUGGGUGUUUAUGAAUGGUUACCAACAUCUAGCUCCCAAGUUCUUCCUGUGCACCAAAUGAGGGGCUCAGAGUUUCAUACAGGGAACUUCCUGCAAGGCUCCCAACACUUCUACUAGGUAGGCUUUAUCUAGAUGAGGAACCUCAGGGUCAGGCAGGAUAAGUACAUACAGUGAAUGAGAACGAAAGAACCCAGAUUUGGACUUAAGCCUGUUUUGACUCAGAAACUGUGUUUUUCCCAGCAUUCUGCCAAGGCACCAACACAUUUCCUUAGACUAUCUCUCAGUCAAAUUUGCUGGAGAGCAGUAAGGGUGUGGAGUUGAAUAAAUGAUUAGCUCUAAGAGUGGUUACUGGGCUCAAGCCUCUGCGUAUCCACAAUAAAUCCAUUUGAUCUAAUGUUUUUUGAUUUGUUUGGGUUUUUUCUGCUUUUUAGAGCUGCACCGAAGGCACAGAGAAGUACCCAGGCUAGAUGUCCAACAGGGGCUGCAGUUGCCAGCCUACACCACAGCCACUGCAAUGUGGAUCCGAGCUACAUCUGCAAUCUACACCACGGCUCACAGCAUUGCCAGAUUCUUACCCACUGGGUGAGGCCAGGGAUUGAACCUACGUCCUCAUGGAUACUAGUUGGGUUCAUUACUGCUGAGCAGAGAUGGGAACUC